CCUUAAGUGUAAGUAGAU
rnacentral:snRNA from 1 species